GACGAAGGAUGCAAGCGUUAUCCGGAUUCAUUGGGUUUAAAGGGUGCGUAGGCGGACUUGUAAGUCAGUGGUGAAAUCUCUUUGCUUAACCUCGAAAUUGCCAUUGAUACUGUAGGGCUUGAGUAUAGUUGCCGUUGGCGGAAUAUGACAUGUAGUGGUGAAAUACAUAGAGAUGUCAUAGAACACCGAUUGCGAAGGCAGCUAACGAAACUAUAACUGACACUGAGGCUCGAAAGUGCGGGGAUCAAACAGG
rnacentral:rRNA from 1 species